AAGUCGAGGGGCAGCGGGAUUGAAGCUUGCUUCAAUUGCCGGCGACCGGCGCACGGGUGAGUAACGCGUAUCCAAUCUUCCGUACACUCAGGGAUAGCCUUUCGAAAGAAAGAUUAAUACCUGAUAGUAUCUUAAGCACACAUGUAAUUAAGAUUAAAGAUUUAUCGGUGUACGAUGGGGAUGCGUUCCAUUAGGUAGUAGGCGGGGUAACGGCCCACCUAGCCAACGAUGGAUAGGGGUUCUGAGAGGAAGGUCCCCCACAUUGGAACUGAGACACGGUCCAAACUCCUACGGGAGGCAGCAGUGAGGAAUAUUGGUCAAUGGACGAGAGUCUGAACCAGCCAAGUAGCGUGAAGGAUGAAGGUCCUACGGAUUGUAAACUUCUUUUAUAAGGGAAUAAACCCUCCCACGUGUGGGAGCUUGUAUGUACCUUAUGAAUAAGCAUCGGCUAACUCCGUGCCAGCAGCCGCGGUAAUACGGAGGAUGCGAGCGUUAUCCGGAUUUAUUGGGUUUAAAGGGAGCGCAGACGGGUCGUUAAGUCAGCUGUGAAAGUUUGGGGCUCAACCUUAAAAUUGCAGUUGAUACUGGCGUCCUUGAGUGCGGUUGAGGUGUGCGGAAUUCGUGGUGUAGCGGUGA
rnacentral:rRNA from 1 species